rnacentral:rRNA from 1 species
GGCAUACGGGUGAGUAACGCGUGGGAAUCUACCUGAUAGUACGGAAUAACUUUUGGAAACGAAAGCUAAUACCGUAUACGCCCUUCGGGGGAAAAAUUUAUUGCUAUCAGAUGAGCCCGCGUCAGAUUAGUUUGUUGGUGAGGUAAUGGCUCACCAUGACUGCGAUCUAUAGCUGGUUUGAGAGGAUGAUCAGCCACACUGGAACUGAGACACGGUCCAG